GAUGAACGCUGGCGGCGUGCCUAAUACAUGCAAGUCGAGCGAACAGACGAGGAGCUUGCUCCUCUGACGUUAGCGGCGGACGGGUGAGUAACACGUGGAUAACCUACCUAUAAGACUGGGAUAACUUCGGGAAACCGGAGCUAAUACCGGAUAAUAUAUUGAACCGCAUGGUUCAAUAGUGAAAGACGGUUUUGCUGUCACUUAUAGAUGGAUCCGCGCCGCAUUAGCUAGUUGGUAAGGUAACGGCUUACCAAGGCAACGAUGCGUAGCCGACCUGAGAGGGGAGUGGCCACACUGGAAACUGAGCAAGGGCCAAAAUCCCAAGGGAGGGCAGAAUGGGGGAAAUUGGCGAAUGGGCGGAAGGCCGAACGAGGCAACCCGCGGGGGGGAAUAAGGGUUUCGGGUUGUAAAACCCUUUUUUUUGGGAAGAAAAAAAGGUGGAAAAAACUUUGCAGUUCUUAAGGUAACCAAAGCAGAAGCCCCGGGUAAAUUCGUG
rnacentral:rRNA from 1 species